UACGGAGGAUGCGAGCGUUAUCCGGAUUUAUUGGGUUUAAAGGGUGCGUAGGCGGACUAUUAAGUCAGUGGUGAAAGCCUGCAGCUUAACUGCAGAACUGCCAUUGAUACUGAUAGUCUUGAGUUUGGUUAAGGUAGGCGGAAUGUGUAAUGUAGCGGUGAAAUGCUUAGAUAUUACACAGAACACCAAUUGCGUAGGCAGCUUACUGAGCCGACACUGACGCUGAGGCACGAAAGCGUGGGGAUCAAACAGGAUUA
rnacentral:rRNA from 1 species